AGCGAACGUUAGCGGCGGGCCUAACACAUGCAAGUCGAGCGAGAAAGGGGGUUCGCCCCCGAGUACAGCGGCGGACGGGUGAGUAACACGUAGGUAAUUUUCCCUUGAGCGGGGGACAACGUUCCGAAAGGGACGCUAAUACCGCAUAAGUUCUUGGGUGCUUCGGCACUGGAGAGGAAAGCUAGGCCGCAAGGUCUGGCACUCGAGGAGAAGCCUGCGUCGCAUCAGCUAGUUGGUGGGGUAAUGGCCUACCAAGGCAAAGACGCGUAGCUGGUCUGAGAGGAUGAUCAGCCACACUGGGACUGAGACACGGCCCAGACUCCUACGGGAGGCAGCAGUGGGGAAUAUUGGGCAAUGGGCGAAAGCCUGAUCCAGCAAUGCCGCGUGAGUGAUGAAGGCCUUAGGGUUGUAAAGCUCUUUUACCCGGGAUGAUAAUGACAGUACCGGGAGAA
rnacentral:rRNA from 1 species